CCUAAUACAUGCAAGUCGAGCGGACAGAAGGGAGCUUGCUCCCGGAUGUUAGCGGCGGACGGGUGAGUAACACGUGGGUAACCUGCCUGUAAGACUGGGAUAACUCCGGGAAACCGGAGCUAAUACCGGAUAGUUCCUUGAACCGCAGGUUCAAGGAUGAAAGACGGUUUCGGCUGUCACUUACAGAUGGACCCGCGGCGCAUAGCUAGUUGGUGAGGUAACGGCUCACCAAGGCGACGAUGCGUAGCCGACCUGAGAGGGUGAUCGGCCACACUGGGACUGAGACACGGCCCAGACUCCUACGGGAGGCAGCAGUAGGGAAUCUUCCGCAAUGGACGAAAGUCUGACGGAGCAACGCCGCGUGAGUGAUGAAGGUUUUCGGAUCGUAAAGCUCUGUUGUUAGGGAAGAACAAGUGCAAGAGUAACUGCUUGCACCUUGACGGUACCUAACCAGAAAGCCACGGCUAACUACGUGCCAGCAGCCGCGGUAAUACGUAGGUGGCAAGCGUUGUCCGGAAUUAUUGGGCGUAAAGGGCUCGCAGGCGGUUUCUUAAGUCUGAUGUGAAAGCCCCCGGCUCAACCGGGGAGGGUCAUUGGAAACUGGGAAACUUGAGUGCAGAAGAGGAGAGUGGAAUUCCACGUGUAGCGGUGAAAUGCGUAGAGAUGUGGAGGAACACCAGUGGCGAAGGCGACUCUCUGGUCUGUAACUGACGCUGAGGAGCGAAAGCGUGGGGAGCGAACAGGAUUAG
rnacentral:rRNA from 1 species